rnacentral:rRNA from 1 species
GACGAACGCUGGCGGCGCGCCUAACACAUGCAAGUCGAACGAGCGAGAGAGAGCUUGCUUUCUCAAGCGAGUGGCGAACGGGUGAGUAACGCGUGAGGAACCUGCCUCAAAGAGGGGGACAACAGUUGGAAACGACUGCUAAUACCGCAUAAGACCACGUCCUCACAUGAGGGAGAGGUAAAAGGAGCAAUCCGGUUUGGGGUGAGUUCGCGUCCGAUUAGCUAGUUGGUGAGGUAACGGCCCACCAAGGCGACGAUCGGUAGCCGACCUGAGAGGGUGAUCGGCCACAUUGGAACUGAGAGACGGUCCAA